GUGCUUGCUUAGGCAGCACAUAUAAUAAAAUUGGAACGAUACAGAGAAGAUUAGCCUAGCCCCUGUGCAAGGGUGAUGACACGCAAUUCGUGAAGCAUUCCAUAUUUGG